rnacentral:lncRNA from 1 species
UUAAUUUCUUCCUGGAGUUGUUUAAGGGUUAGAAAAUAUGACAUAGAGAAAGAAAAGCCUCAAGAAAAUUAUAUUGAUAAAGAUAAAAUAUUACAAAUUAUUGAAAAAUUUCUUUAUAAUGAGAUGGUUACAAUUUUAUAUAGUGUAAUCUCAUUAUAACUAAUAUAUAAUUAUCUAUAUUUAUAAUACCCUCCCACACGACGGAAGAUAUACAUAGUAUUUUCAACUUAAGAUGAAUAAUAGAAAUCAAAGUAAAGUAAA